rnacentral:rRNA from 1 species
UGGCGGACGGGUGAGUAACGCGUGGGUAACCUGCCCUAUACAGGGGGAUAACAGUUAGAAAUGACUGCUAAUACCGCAUAAGCGCACAGGACCGCAUGGUUCGGUGUGAAAAACUGAGGUGGUAUAGGAUGGACCCGCGUCUGAUUAGCUUGUUGGUGGGGUAACGGCUCACCAAGGCGACGAUCAGUAGCCGGCCUGAGAGGGCGACCGGCCACAUUGGGACUGAGACACGGCCCAAACUCCUACGGGAGGCAGCAG